rnacentral:lncRNA from 1 species
GCGGCCGGACCGCCGGCCUCCUCUUCAUCCUCCCGCGUCCUCCCGGGCUCGCGCCGCUGUCACUGGAGCCCGCAUCCUCCGCCUCCCGCCGCCGCCGCGACCCCGCACCGGGAACCAAGCCGGCGCGGAAAACCGCAAGAGCUCGCCGCCUUAGGAAUGCCACUCCACCCGGGCCUCCUUCUCCUGGGACCCCCUGGGCCCCACCCCCAGGACCUCCCACCUCUGCAUGCCCUGAGUUCGCUUUUCCCAAUGCACCGGGCAGCUUGACUCCACGCCCACCUGACUGGACUGGGAAAACCGAAGAAGUUAGUGAGGGUUCAGCAAUAAAUAGGAGGAGCAGAAUUUGAAACAGCAGCAUACCGGUCCUGCGCCUGGUGAAGGAUGACUCGCCAGAAAGCAAAGGCGCAGCUUGGCGCGUGGCCCAGGAGGCUCCGCGAGCCCUUGUACGUAAGGAUCGUGGCGCCCACGCUUGGGAGCAGAGCUCAGUGCAAACUUCCAACAGUUCUUCCAGUUUCCAGGGAAACGAGAUUUGGAGCUGCUGCGCGUUGCAGAACUGCUUCUCUGCUCCCCACAUGGGACCCCUGUGGCUGGCUGGUCUUAGGGAGGAAGGAAUUGAAGCCAUCUCAUCCAUGAAGUG